AUCCCCUCAAACAAAAUUAUAUUCACCGUUUAAGUUGGUCACCUAUAAAAUUUUUAAAUACUAAAAAUAUCUGGAUUUUUUAUAAACUUUAAUUAUUAAUUUAGAUUUCCGCAUAGGAUGAUCAUAACAAAAACUUACUUUAUUCAUAAAAACAUCGUAGGUUUGGUUUUUAUAUAUGAUGAUUCACAAUAUUAAAUAUAUUAUAGUGUAGAUUAUUCAAAAUUUUAAGAUACUUAUAGUGUUACUAUAUUUUAGAUUUAUAUUAAAAAAUAAUAUAGUAUUCAUAUUUUUUAUAGAAGCCAAAUACUUAAAAGAUAGCACAAACAAACUGUUUUUUUUUUUAUGUUAACUGAAUCUCAAAAAGCAACACUUGCAGGCUUAAACACUAGUAAAAAACUUUCGUAUAGCCACUACAACUCUGUGGCUAUAGAGGAGAAAUUCGUGGCUUGGGAGAGAAGAGCCACGGUUUUGGAAAGGAGAAUUACCGUGGCUAUAGCCUCGUGGCUGGAACUAAACCGUGGCUUUUCGUGGCUACUAGCCACGCUUUUCCCACGCUUCUUUUCGUGGCUUAAAUAGCCACGCUAAUAACUCCUUUAGCGUUGCUAGUUUUGGUUUUACAACUUAUUUAAAGUGGCUGUCGUUACCACGGUUUUGCCACUAUAUAUUCGUGGCUUUAAAAAGCCACGAUUUUGUUUUUUAUAAACGUGGUAUUGGUUAGCCACGUUAAUAACCAUUUUUGUAAAUGGUUUUCUUCUUUGAUUUGUUUUAAUUUUCCAAAUUCAAAAUUUUAUAUUUUCAUUCAAAUAUUAAAACAUUGCACAUAUAAUUAAAACAGAAAUUGCAUAUAUAUAAAAGAGUAGGUUCAAUAUUACACAAACUUAGAUAAUUAUACAAGGAAGAAGAGUUUUAAAGAGUCUAAGAAGACUCUACAAAAGAUGAGCUAGAGUUUGAUGAGCUUUGUUACAAAAGAGAAGACAUGAACCUACUUAGGGCUGAGGAGUUGGGACUUGGGGCUGAGCAUAAGUCUGUUCAGUAGGUGCUUGUGGGGGACGAAGCAUUUGGAGGAGCUGAUUGAUUGCAUCUCUUGUUGAUGCAAACUCCUGCUUCAUCUCGGACACAUCCUGCUUCACCUCAGACACGUCCUCCCUCACACUUUGGAGGCUUGUCUCAAGACCUCCCACCCGCAUCUCCAGCUCCAGGUUGCGCGCAAGACCAUUAGGGACGCGUGAAGAAGGUGCUUGCUCCCUGUAUUGGGCACUGCCGAGUCCAUAAACAUGCCCCCUCUUACCCUUAGCAUUCUGUUGAACAUAACAGAAAACAAUUUUAAUAAAAGCUUUCUUCACUGUAAAUAAACAGAACAUGCACAGCUCUAAGUCAUAUCUAAUUCUACCCGCAAAUAACCAACCACAUUCUUAAGCAGCUCUAAGUCAUCCAAAUCCACAUACAAAUCAGAACAUAAAACAACUGAAACCUAGUGUAUGAAAGAUACCUUUAGAUAAGCUUUGUUUAUCUUGAGGCGAGAAGGAGUAGAUGAUGCACUUGGACUCCCGGGUGAUCCGUCAGUGUUAGAGAGUUGUGUGGCUUCCAUCUCGGCUUGAGUAACCAACUCUUCAGCACGGUAGUCCACAAAAGUUCCAUCUGGUCUGGUGUGUGUCGCCCUAACUAGGUCGGUGAAUGAUGGCCUCUCAUUAGUACCAGAAGCCACCAUCUGCACAAAAGGAAAAUAAUUACAGUAGAUUAGAAAAAAAAAAGAACAUUAUUAAGAGUAUAGACAUGGAAAGAUACCAUGUUAUACUCAAUCCUUGCAAAAGACCGAGGUCCUGCAUUAUGCUUGUGGCAGCCUUUACCCACAGGAUCAGACUUGCGAGAUUUUGCAGCCUUCUUGCUCUUCUUUUUAGCUGCCUCGGUCGCCCAAUACUCUAACAGGAGAGUCCAGUCAGCUUCAUUGAUGUAUACUUUGGCUUCUUAUGUUGCCUCUUCUUCUUGCUUAUCCUUUCACCAAUGGUUGUCCACGUUUCUUUCUUCCAAAGACCGUAGACUAAGUCAUUAAACUCAGGGUCCCAAUAGAAAUUUUGCUACAAAAGAAAGAAAAACAGUUAGCGAUUUUAAAACAUGUUAACAGCAUAUACAAUGUAUACUAGUCACUUACCACAAAGGUUUGCCACCAUGAUUCCCUCCUUUCAUCAGGAACAGUCCUCCAACUCUUCCAAGGCCCCAUGUAGUACGCUUGCCAAGUUGCCCGAAUGAAAGAGUUGACACAUGGGUCAAUACCAAACCUAAAUCGAUAACCAACAUCAGUAACAGAAACAAUACAUCACAAAAAAUCCUAAAAAAUAAACAAUCAUCGCUAACAAUCCUAAACAGAAACUAUCCUAAGCAAUCACAGCCAUAAAACAAUUAACAUAAACUAUUUUAGUCUAAGAAAGAGAUGGAGACCAAAUGUAAUCUUACCAUAAAGCUCCAUUGAUUUUAUCUGGAUGGAGAUGAGGCUGUGCUAGCCUAGCAGGUGAAUUGAGCAUGGCAUUGAGAGUCAUCUGCGGGUAGCUAUUGGAACGAGAAGAGGAAGCAGCACGGUUCGAAGCCGGUCCAGUAGCACCAGGAGGCAUAGAAGCCGGUCCAGUAGCACCAGGAGGCAUAGGAGGAGGUACUCUUGGUGAGUUCAUCUGUUAACAACCAAUGACAAAGAAACAUUAGUAUACAAACAAAUAUAAACAGAGACAAAGCGAAACAAAAGAGACAGAGAGAAGAACAUGAGAAAUUUAGACAAUUUUUUGGUCACAAGAACACUAACUAGACAGAGACAAAACCCCUAAUCGAAACCCAAGUUUGGAACGAAAUCAAAACCCUAGAUUGGAACGAAAUCGAAACCUUAAAUUGCAUGUGAAAUCGAAACACACACAGAAGCGAAGAAAUCAAAACCCUAGAACAUCUAAUCGAUUCGGGAUCCUAAGAUUUCUGAUUUAGCGGAGGAGAGAAAGGGGUUACCUUGAGAAAUGAGAGACGGGAGACGGUGACGCUUGGAAUGGGAGACGGUGACGCUUGGAAUGGGAGACUUGAAACCGGAGAAGACGACGCGUUUCGUCAGUCGCGAGUCGAGAGAGAGUUUCGGUUUCUCUUCUGUGCUAAGUGUUAGAAGCAAGAGGAAAACCAAUAUAAACUCUUUCAGCAGAGCCACGAAAACAGCGUGGCAGAUCGUGGCUUGGUUUUAGCAUUAACCGCGAAAUGUCAAAUAAUUGGAGCCACAACCGAAUAAAUUGGAGGCAAACCAAUUGGCAAACCAAAAUUUCCAAUAAGCCACGACAAUGCCACAAAAAUGUAGUGGCUAUUUUUAAUAUAAACCGCGAAACUAAAAAUAAUUGGAGCCAGAACCAAAUACAUUGGAGGCAAACCAAUUGGUUUUUUCCAAUUUUCACAUCCACUAAAAAGCCACGAAAUAAGCGUGGCUUAUUUCAAAACCCGAAACCACGAACAUCUAACACCUAAACUAUAAUCCCUAAACCCUUUCCCUCAACCUUAUACUCACACAACAACUUACAUACAUAUUCCAAAAAUCUUACAAUCUAUUUUAAAACCUUACAAUAUUUUUUAAAACCAUAUAUUUUACAACCUUACCAUUUAUUUUACAUCUCACAAUAUAUUUCACAACCUUACAACUUAUUUUUCAACCUUACAACUUAUUUUACAACCUUACAACUUAUUUUUAACCUUAAAACAUAUCUUACUACCUUAAACACAUAUUUUACAGUCUUGGAAUAUAGUUUUCUAUUCUGAAUCAUCAUCUGAAUCACGGUCUGCUUCUACAUCACCAUCAGAUACAUAUUCAUCGUUUGGAGGAUUCACCGGAGCAAUAUCAUAAUCAGACACAUCAUCAACAACAUGUGUCUCCACCCGUAACAAUGAACUUUCAGCAACCUGAUCACGUCUAUCAUCUUGCCAUGCCGUUAACGCAAUUUCUGGUGUUUCACGGAUUCCUCGGGGAAUAAUUUUUGCGCAUGCCCACCAAUCAUCGACUGACUGUCGACGUACCCGUGGAUAAGGAAUAAAACAUGCUUGAUCACAAUUACCUGUUUAUAGUACAAUAACAUCAUAGUUUCAUCAAUAAUAUCAAAUCCCAAAGAAAUAAUUAUAUAUUUUUCACUUACCUGGUAAUACAAAAGGAUCAUAUUUUGCAUAUUGUCUUCGUGGUGAGACAUCAACAAGACCAAAUGGAUGUAUUCUCAUACCGCGAUUUGUUGUGUUGUCAAACCACGAACAUUUAAAAACCAUGACUUUCAAGCCAACAUCACCAUGAUACUCUACCAUCAUGAUCUCUUGUACAAGACCAUAGUAGUCUGUCUCGUUGGUUCCAGGUACACAUACACCAUAAUGUUGAGUUCUCUUAUUUUGACCAUGGUUAUGAGUGUGGAAAGUGUAUCCACGUGUGUGGUAUAUUGGCCAAGAUCUGUAACUACGCCUUGGACCUUGUACAAAAUCCAACAUCCACAUAGGAAAUGUGUAAAACUGAGUCGCAUCAUUAAUCUGUAAUACAAUAACAUUGUUAUAAAAUACAAA